rnacentral:lncRNA from 1 species
UUGAUAUGCCCUUCACAAAAAGGCAAAAUCAAGACUCAUCAAUAUUUAGCAGCUGAGAAUCUCUACUGAAGACAAUCAAAAAUAUUUGGGAAGAUUUAUGUCAACAUCUGAAGCAGCAAAGAAUAUUUACCUUCAUAGACUGUAGCAAUGAUUUUGAAUGAACCUGCACAUGCCACAUUUUAACCUAUUAAUGAGGAUCAUGUA